GACGAACGCUGGCGGCGUGCUUAACACAUGCAAGUCGAACGAAGAGCUAGGGACGCUUGCUUCUAUCAAUCGUAGUGGCGAACGGGUGAGUAACGCGUAAGCAACCUGCCCUUCAGAGGGGGACAACAGUUGGAAACGACUGCUAAUACCGCAUACGAUCUAACCUCGGCAUCGACGAUAGAUGAAAGGUGGCCUCUACAGUUAAGCUAUCACUGAAGGAGGUGACUGCGUCUGAUUAGCUAGGUGGAGGGGUAACGGGCCACCGAGGCGAUGAUCAGUAGACGGCCUGAAAGGAUGCGAUGCGUCGCUGGUAUGGGAACACGGCCAAGCACCCUACGAGAGAGAGACGUCGCGGACUCCUCGGAGUGGCAGCAGGGGUGAAGGAGCAACACCGCGUGAGUGACGAAGGCAUCAGGGUUGUGAAGCUCUGUUAAUCGGGAGGAAAGGCAUUCUCGCGAAUAGUGAGAAGGAUUGACGGUACCGGAAUAGAAAGCCACGGCUAACUCCGUG
rnacentral:rRNA from 1 species